rnacentral:rRNA from 1 species
UACGUAGGAGGCGAGCGUUGUCCGGAGUUACUGGGCGUAAGGCGUGCGCAGGCGGUUUUGCAAGCCGGAUGUGAAAUCCCCGGGCUCAACCUGGGAAUGGCAUUCGGGACUGCAAGGCUGGAGUGCGGCAGAGGAGACUGGAAUUCCUGGUGUAGCAGUGAAAUGCGUAGAUAUCAGGAGGAAUACCGAUGGCGAAGGCAGGUCUCUGGGCUGACACUGACGCUCAUGCACGAAAGCGUGGGGAGCAAACAGG